rnacentral:lncRNA from 1 species
AGGAGUGCAUUGAAGGACCAGAGCACCCUUGCCUCCCUGGACAAGAACACACUCGAAAGAGUCAGCCUAACGUGGGACUUGGUUGCCACCAGCAUUGCCAAAAUUGUUGAGCAGGAGCUUGACAAAUCUGCUGGAAAUGGCAAAGUUGGGCCCGAUGUGCUUGCCGCUGUCGAGCUGCUGCGAAAAGUGGUUCAGCUGGCCAACAGAAGGAAGUCACUGCUGAACCCUCGCAAGAUAUUGGAGCAUGUCCAGUGGUUCCUGACCCAAGGGGCGUACGAGCCUGUGCAAGUGCAGUACACCAGGCUCCUGCGGUUGCUGCUGCAGAGUGACUGGCAGGCCACACUGCC